GGCUCGUUCAGGUGUAUGAACGAAGGAUUAAGAAAAUUCAUCCCUUGUUUAAUAGUUCGCUCAAUUUCUGCAUUUGUUCAAUCUGUUCCAGAUCAAUAGAAUCAGAUAAGUCUUUUUCUGAACUGAAGAAUCAAAACAUAUGUAUAGGCCUAUGAGCUCGCGUGCGAAUACCAGGACGUGUUUAUUAGUAAUGUGUAUGAGCUGUCAUGAGAAUAUCCGUUCGCAGGCCACAGGUACUAAAUCGGAUAGUAGCAGAAAGAGAGAGACGAGUUUAUUUUUUCGAAUAUAAUUGUUACUUUCGUCCGUCCAUAUAAAAUACUGAAAAUAAUGAAAAAUAGA